rnacentral:rRNA from 1 species
GACGAACGCUGGCGGCGUGCUUAACACAUGCAAGUCGAACGAUGAUCAGGAGCUUGCUCCUGUGAUUAGUGGCGAACGGGUGAGUAACACGUGAGUAACCUGCCCCUGACUCUGGGAUAAGCGUUGGAAACGACGUCUAAUACUGGAUAUGAUCACUGGCCGCAUGGUCUGGUGGUGGAAAGAUUUUUUGGUUGGGGAUGGACUCGCGGCCUAUCAGCUUGUUGGUGAGGUAAUGGCUCACCAAGGCGACGACGGGUAGCCGGCCUGAGAGGGUGACCGGCCACACUGUGACUGAGACACGGCCCCGACUCCUGCGGGAGGCAGCAGUGGGGAAUAUUGCACCAUGGGCGAAAGCCUGAUGCAGCAACGCCGCGUGAGUGAUGACGGCCUUCGGGUUGUAAACCUCUUUUAGUAGGGAAGAAGCGAAAGUGACGGUACCUGCAGAAAAAGCACCGGCUAACUACGUGCCAGCCGCCGCGGUAA